rnacentral:tRNA from 1 species
GCCUGGGUGGCUCAGUAGGUUGAGCAUCUGACUUUGGCUCAGGUCAUGAUCUCGUGGUUCAUGAGUUCAAGCCCCAUGUCAGGCU